rnacentral:lncRNA from 1 species
CUACAAGGUAUAAGUUAUCCCGAUACUAAUUUUAAUCUCAAGAUAACUUGUACCAAAUUUGCUAACCAAAGUAAAGUAUUAAGGUGGUAUAAAAUUUUUAUACCAACACUUUAUCUACUUAUACCUCAAACCAAACGGCCCCUUAAAAAAAUUAUAAUAUUUCUUAUAAGUAAAAAUAAAUAAAGAUAACGGAUAGAAGACAUGCGCCAAGGGAAAAGGUAGCGCAGAUAAAUGACUAGAACAACAAAGAUGAGUUAUCCUUUUCAAGAGAUACGAUAGCAUCUGAUAUAUAGUAGUAAUAGAGAAAAAGAUGUAAUGAGUACCUGAUUUUUGGAUAAACCAGUCUGCCUAGACAACAAAUGCUUGUCUGCUUCACUUGGAUACCUGAAUACAC